rnacentral:ncRNA from 1 species
UCAAAGUUUUCCUUUUCAAUCGCUGUAUCUAAUCGUCAUUUUGACUUCUCCAUAGCCUCGGUGCUUAACCGAGGUUUUU